rnacentral:snRNA from 1 species
AUCGUCUUCUCGGCCUUUUGGUCAGAUCAGUGUAGUAUCUGUUCUUAUCAGUUUAAUAUCUGAUGUACCCCCCAUCGGGUGACUUACAUAUUAAAUGGAUUUUUCGAACAGGAUCGGCGAAAUGGGGCUUGCUCCGUGCCGCUCCACGCAUCGCGACCCGGUAUUGCCAGUACCCUCCGGGAACGGUGCAACACUU